rnacentral:rRNA from 1 species
AGUCGAACGGCAGCACGGACUUCGGUCUGGUGGCGAGUAGCGAACGGGUGAGUAAUGUAUCGGAACGUGCCUAGUAGCGGGGGAUAACUUGCAGAAGCGUAGCUAAUACCACAUACGCCUUCGGGGAAAAGCGGGGGACCUUCGGGCCUCGCUAUGAAGCAGCCGAUAUCGGAUUAGCUAGUUGGUGGGAGUAACAGCUCCGCAAGGCGACGAUCCGUAGCUGGUUUGAGAGGACGACCAGCCACACUGGGACUGAGACACGGCCCAGACUCCUACAGGAGAGCAGCAGUGGGAAUUUUUGGACAAUAAACCUGAUCCAGCCAUCCCGCGUGUGCGAUGAAGGCCUUCAGGUUGUAAAGCACUUUUGGCAGGAAAGAAACGGCACAGGAUAAUACCCCGUGCAACUGACGGUACCUACCCAGAAUAAACGCGCUUCGCUACGUUAUUAGCAACAGCCGCGGUAAUACGUAGGGUGCAAGCGUUAAUCGAGGUUACUGGGCGUAAAGCGUGCGCAGGCGGUUCCGGAAGAAAGAUGUAGAAAUCCCAGAGCUUCUUUGGAACUGCGUGCAUACCGAGCUAGAGUGUGUCAGAGGGAGGUGGAAUUCCGCGUGUAGCAGUGAAAUGCGUAGAUAUGCGGAGGAACACCGAUGAGCAGCCUCCUGGGAUAACACUGACGCUCUCAUGCGCGAAAGCAUUGGGAGCAGAAGCAAGUUAGAUACCCUGGUAGUCCACGCCCUAAACGUUCAACUAGCUGUUGGGGCCUUCGGGCCUUGGUAGCGCAACUAACGCGUGAAGUUGACCGCCUGGGGGGAUACGGUCGCAAGAUAAAACUCAAAGGAAUUGACGGGGACCCGCACAAGCGGUGGAUGAUGUGGAUUAAUUCGAAUGCAACGCGAAAAACUGCUACCUUGACAUGUCUGGAAUCCGAAGAGAUUUGGGAGUGCUCGCAAGAGAACCGGAACACAGGUGCUGCAUGGCUGUCGUCCGGCCGUGUCGUGAGAGAUGGUAGGUUGAUCCCGCGACGAGCGCAACCCUUAUCAUUAGUUGCUACGAAAGGGCACUCUAAUGAGACUGCCGGUGACAAACCGGAGGAAGGUGGGAGAUGACAUUCAAGUCCUCAUGGCCCUUAUGGUGGGCUUCACGUCGUACAAUGGUCAGGACGAAAAGAUUACUCUUACAAGGACUUGGAAGACAGUCUCGGAAAUGAAUGUGAAUGGAUCUUUGAAGUCUGCAACUCGCUUCGCAUGAAGUGUCAGGUGUGACAAUCUUUUAAAGAUCACUUCUGUGCGUGAUGAACUUUGGAGAUAUCUUCUUCUGUAUAUUCAGGUGGUUUUGCAGGCGAUUAAGCACCACCUUACCAAGAUUU